AUUGAACGCUGGCGGCGUGCCUAACACAUGCAAGUCGAGCGGUAACGCGGGAGCAGUCCUGGCGACGAGCGGCGAACGGGUGAGUAAUGCUUCGGAAUCUGCCCAAUGGUGGGGAAUAACCAGCCGAAAGGUUGGCUAAUACCGCAUAGGUCCUAAGGGAGAAAGCGGGGGAUCGUAAGACCUCGCGCCGAUGGAUGAGCCGAAGUCGGAUUAGCUAGUUGGUAGGUAACGGCCUACCAAGGCGACGAUCCGUAGCUGGUCUGAGAGGACGACCAGCCACACUGGGACUGAGACACGGCCCAGACUCCUACGGGAGGCAGCAGUGGGGAAUAUUGGACAAUGGGGGAAACCCUGAUCCAGCGACGCCGCGUGUGUGAAGAAGGCCUGCGGGUUGUAAAGCACUUUUAGUGGGGAUGAAAAGCUCAGAGCUAAUACCUCUGGGUCUUUGACCUAACCACAGAAAAGCACCGGCUAACUCUGUGCCAGCCGCCGCAGUAAG
rnacentral:rRNA from 1 species